rnacentral:misc_RNA from 1 species
GAUGAAGAACGUAGCGAAAUGCGAUAAGUAAUGUGAAUUGCAGAAUUCAGUGAAUCAUCGAAUCUUUGAACGCACAUUGCGCCCCCUCGUAUUCCGGGGGGCAUGCCUGUUCGAGCGUCAUUUCACCACUCAAGCCUCGCUUGGUAUUGGGCAACGCGGUCCGCCGCGUGCCUCAAAUCGACCGGCUGGGUCUUCUGUCCCCUAAGCGUUGUGGAAACUAUUCGCUAAAGGGUGUUCGGGAGGCUACGCCGUAAAACAACCCCAUUUCUAAGGUUGACCUCGGAUCAGGUAGGGAUACCCGCUGAACUUAAGCAUAUCAAUAAGCGGAGGA